rnacentral:sRNA from 1 species
UGAUACACCCGUCCUUGGAUGGUAAAA